UACGGAAGGGGCAAGCGUUGUUCGGAAUCAUUGGGCGUAAAGGGCGCGUAGGUGGUUCUGUAUGUCUACCGUGAAAGCAUACAGCUCAACUGUAUUUUGUCGGUAGAAACUGCAGGACUUGAGGCUGGGAGGGGCUGGUGGAAUUCCCUGUGUAGCGGUGAAAUGCGUAGAUAUGCGGAGGAACACCGAUGGCGAAGGCAAUCCCCUGGGCCUGCACUGACGCUCAUGCACGAAAGCGUGGGGAGCAAACAGG
rnacentral:rRNA from 1 species